ACCCCUGUGAGUACGCCCUUCACAUCCCUUAUUGGACAGAAGGAGCUGGUAUCAGGCCCAAACAAAAUAGCCCACGACACCUUGCCCAGCCACACCCCCAAGGGGACCCAGCAGUAAUUAAUAUUAAACCAUAAGUGAAAACUUGACUUAGUUAAGACUAACAGGGCCGGUUAAACUCGUGCCAGCCACCGCGGUUAGACGAGUGACCCAAGUUGACAGGCAUCGGCGUAAAGAGUGGUUAAUAGAACACAUACUAAAGCAAAACACCUUCAAAGCUGUGAUAUGCCCCCGAAGGUGGGAAAGCCCCCCACGAAAGUAGCUUUAAGCUUCAUGACGCCACGAAAGCUAGGACACAAACUGGGAUUAGAUACCCCACUAUGCCUAGCCCUAAACAAAAGCAGCCUUUUUACAGCUCCUGCUCGCCAGGGAAUUACAAGCCUCCGGCUCAAAACCCAAAGGACUUGACGGUGCUUUAUCCCACCUAGAGGAGCCUGUUCUAUAACCGAUAACCCACGUUUAACCUCACCCUCUUUUGCCAGUUCCGCCUAUAUACCGCCGUCGUCAGCUUACUCUGUGAAGACAAAACAGUAAGCAAAAUUGGCACAGCCCAAAACGUCAGGUCGAGGUGUAGUAUAUAAGAGGGCAAGAAAUGGGCUACACUCACUGCCACAGUGAAUACGGACUAUGCUUUGAAAUAAGCAUUUGAAGGUGGAUUUAACAGUAAGAAGCGAACAAGCAUGUCCCCCUGAAACUGGCCCUGAAGCACGCACACACCGCCCGUCACCCUCCCCCAAGCAGCUAAAAAUUAUACAUAACAAGCAAACACCGCUAAGAGGAGGAAAGUCGUAACAUGGUAAGUGUACCGGAAGGUGCACUUGGAACAU
rnacentral:ncRNA from 1 species